rnacentral:rRNA from 1 species
CCUACGGGAGGCAGCAGUGGGGAAUAUUGCACAAUGGGGGAAACCCUGAUGCAGCAACGCCGCGUGGGUGAAGGAGCGUUUCGGCGCGUAAAGCCCUGUCAGCGGGGAAGAAGAAAGACGGUACCCGACCAAGAAGCCCCGGCUAACUACGUGCCAGCAGCCGCGGUAAUACGUAGGGGGCGAGCGUUAUCCGGAAUUACUGGGUGUAAAGGGAGCGUAGACGGCGAUGCAAGCCAGGAGUGAAAGCCCGGGGCCCAACCCCGGGACUGCUCUUGGAACUGCGUGGCUAGAGUGCAGGAGGGGCAGGCGGAAUUCCUGGUGUAGCGGUGAAAUGCGUAGAUAUCAGGAGGAACACCGGUGGCGAAGGCGGCCUGCUGGACUGCAACUGACGUUGAGGCCCGAAAGCGUGGGGAGCAAACAGGAUUAGAUACCCCAGUAGUC